UACAGGGGGGGCAAGCGUUGUUCGGAAUUACUGGGCGUAAAGGGCUUGUAGGUGGCCAACUAAGUCACACGUGAAAUCCCCAGGCUUAACCUGGGAACUGCGUGUGAUACUGGAUGGCUUGAAUCCGGGAGAGGGAUGCGGAAUUCCAGGUGUAGCGGUGAAAUGCGUAGAUAUCUGGAGGAACACCGGUGGCGAAGGCGGCAUCCUGGACCGGCAUUGACGCUGAUGAGCGAAAGCCAGGGGAGCAAACGGG
rnacentral:rRNA from 1 species